AGUGAACGCUGGCGGUAGGCCUAACACAUGCAAGUCGAACGGCAGCACAGUAAGAGCUUGCUCUUACGGGUGGCGAGUGGCGGACGGGUGAGGAAUACAUCGGAAUCUACUUUUUCGUGGGGGAUAACGUAGGGAAACUUACGCUAAUACCGCAUACGACCUACGGGUGAAAGCAGGGGAUCUUCGGACCUUGCGCGAUUGAAUGAGCCGCUGUCGGAUUAGCUAGUUGGCGGGGUACAGGCCCACCAAGGCGGCGAUCCGUAGCUGGUCUGAGAGGAUGAUCAGCCACACUGGAACUGAGACACGGUCCAGACUCCUACGGGAGGCAGCAGUGGGGAAUAUUGGACAAGGGGCGCAAGCCUGAUCCAGCCAGACCGCGUGGGUGAAGAAGGCCUUCGGGUUGUAAAGCCCUUUUGUUGGGAAAGAAAAGCAGCAGGUUAAUACCCCGCUGUUCUGACGGUACCCAAAGAAUAAGCACCGGCUAACUUCGUG
rnacentral:rRNA from 1 species